AGUUUGUUUUGUGAUUUUCUCGUCUCUUUUGUCUUUUCAGGUGAUGUCAUGUUGUUCUUGAAGAUGUAUGACCCGAAAACAAGAAGCUUAAAUUAUUGUGGACAUAUCUACACGCCUAUAUCCUGCAAAAUAAGAGACCUGCUACCAGUCAUGUGUGAGCGAGCAGGCUUUCAGCAGGAAACUAGCCUUAUCCUCUAUGAGG